CGUUGCCUGUGGUGUUCGGAGUGCGCUUCUAAUCCCUUAGAACCUAGUCUUUUUCCCCGGGGGUCAGACCACAUUGUUGUUGUGAAGAGCUACCUCGGUAGCGAUCCUGAUAUAGUGUGUAGACUCCCACUUGAACCAUUGGUUCAAGGCAGCAAGCGCAUUGCGGCACAUAUGGGUAACGC
rnacentral:other from 1 species